AGCCCCGUAGCUCAAAUGGAUAGAGCGCCAGUCUUGCGAAACUGAAGGUUCCGGGUUCGACCCCCGGCGGGGCUACCA
rnacentral:tRNA from 1 species